UACGUAGGGGGCAAGCGUUGUCCGGAUUUAUUGGGCGUAAAGAGCGUGUAGGCGGUUUGGUAGGUCCGCUGUGAAAACUCGAGGCUCAACCUCGAGACGCCGGUGGAAACCAUCAGACUAGAGUCCAGAAGAGGAAAGCGGAAUUCCACGUGUAGCGGUGAAUGCGUAGAGAUGUGGAGGAACACCAGUGGCGAAGGCGGCUUUCUGGUCUGUAACUGACGCUGAGGCGCGAAAGCGUGGGGAGCAAACAGG
rnacentral:rRNA from 1 species